rnacentral:rRNA from 1 species
UACGGAGGGUGCAAACGUUGCUCGGAAUCAUUGGGCGUAAAGGGCGCGUAGGCGGCCACCGCAAGUCGGUUGUGAAAUCUCCGGGCUUAACCCGGAAAGGUCAAUCGAUACUGCGGGGCUAGAGUGCAGAAGGGGCAACUGGAAUUCUCGGUGUAGCGGUGAAAUGCGUAGAUAUCGAGAGGAACACCUGCGGCGAAGGCGGGUUGCUGGGCUGACACUGACGCUGAAGCGCGAAAGCUAGGGGAGCGAACGGG